GAAGGUGUAGCAUAGUGGUAAAGAGCAGGGCUCAUAACCAAGAGAUUCCUGGUUCGAUUCCCCGCCGGGGCA